rnacentral:misc_RNA from 1 species
AAAGUCGUAACAAGGUCUCCGUUGGUGAACCAGCGGAGGGAUCAUUACAGAGUUAUCCAACUCCCAAACCCAUGUGAACUUAUCUCUUUGUUGCCUCGGCGCAAGCUACCCGGGACCUCGCGCCCCGGGCGGCCCGCCGGCGGACAAACCAAAACUCUUGUUAUCUUCGUUGAUUAUCUGAGUGUCUUAUUUAAUAAGUCAAAACUUUCAACAACGGAUCUCUUGGUUCUG